rnacentral:rRNA from 1 species
GCCUGGUAGUGGGGGAUAACGUUCGGAAACGGACGCUAAUACCGCAUACGUCCUACGGGAGAAAGCAGGGGACCUUCGGGCCUUGCGCUAUCAGAUGAGCCUAGGUCGGAUUAGCUAGUUGGUGGGGUAAUGGCUCACCAAGGCGACGAUCCGUAACUGGUCUGAGAGGAUGAUCAGUCACACUGGAACUGAGACACGGUCCAGACUCCUACGGGAGGCAGCAGUGGGGAAUAUUGGACAAUGGGCGAAAGCCUGAUCCAGCCAUGCCGCGUGUGUGAAGAAGGUCUUCGGAUUGUAAAGCACUUUAAGUUGGGAGGAAGGGCAGUUACCUAAUACGUAAUUGUUUUGACGUUACCGACAGAAUAAGCACCGGCUAACUCUGUGCCAGCAGCCGCGGUAAUACAGAGGGUGCAAGCGUUAAUCGGAAUUACUGGGCGUAAAGCGCGCGUAGGUGGUUUGUUAAGUUGGAUGUGAU